AACGUUUUCCAUUUAUUUUUGAGAUAAUUUUAUAAUAUUAGUUUGUAUAAGUUAAAUAAUGAAUUAUAUAAUUUAUUUAUUAGAUAUUAAAACUUUAAUUUGUCAAAUUAAAAUUAAAAUUGUUUAAUGAUUAAGCCUAAAAUCAUAGAGAAAAUGACAAAUAAGCAAUUUCACUUCUCAAAUAGUAAUAUAUAUAUUAGUAUCAGUUACGUAAUAUUAAGAAUGAUUAAUAAUAAAUUAUUAAUCCAUAUAGUUAUUUAUUCAGUAAUUAAUUAAUUAGUUAAUUAAUUAUUUUUUAUUAAUUAAUCUUUGAGAAAUACCCUAGGAUAGCACUAAAAAGUUUCUAUCGCAAAUAUAGACUCUAAGAAUUAAAAUGACCAAAAUGUUUCUUUAAAGUGGUAAAUAUACACUUAUACCCCUAGGGUUAACUAAUCCAAAUCUUAGGAUUUAGAGUUAAGGGGUGGAAAUUUGGGUUUGAGGUUUAAAAUUUUAUAAAAUUGAAAAUAAAUAUUAAAAAAUUUAAAAUAAAAAUUUUAAAAAUAGUUUCAAAAAUUAUUUUCGAAUUACAAAAAGAAAAUUUGAAAAGAAAAAUAAAAAUAAAAAAAAGUUUAAAAAAAAAUCAAAAGAAAAAUUUAUAAAAAAAUUCAAAUUUGAAAACAUAUAAUCUAAAACUAUAUAAAAAAAAAAAUUUAUAUCUAGGGUAUUAGUGUCCUUUAACCUAUUAAAUGAAAUAUUUUGGUCAUUUUCAUCUUUUUGUCUAUUUUUGUGACAAAAUUUAAAAAUAAUCUAUUUAUGAGAAUUGUCCUUAAUCUUUUAUAGCAUAAAUCUUUUUAAAUAUUUAUUAUUAAGACUUCCAUAACAGAAAUAAAUUUCAAAAUAUUUUUGAGAAAAUUUGUAUUAUACCAUCACGAUAAAAAAACUAAAUUGUCAUUUACAAAAAUGAAAACAAAAUCAGAAAGAAAAAUCAAUCAACAUAAUAUCAAUCAUCGUUCUUGUUCUUCAUUCAUCUAGUUAUAUCUCUUCCACUUGAAAAAUAAGGAUUGUAAAAUCCAAGUAGAUAUCCUUUGAAUAUCAUCACACUUGAAUACAUUUCCAACCUACAAAAAGUAAAAGGAAAUCAAAAAGAUUAAUAAAUCUCAUAUAAACUAUUGACAAAUUUUAUUUGAUCAUAAGUAUAAAUAUAAUGGGAUUUUGAAGUACCUUUAUUUCUGUUUGUAGAAAACAUAGUCUUUCGAAUGAUUAGUAUGUGCACUUCUCUAUAAUCUUACGGUCACGAGAUGAAAACCAUUCCAAAUAAAACAGAGAAGUUAUGAAACAAUCGAAAACAAACAUGAUAUAAUCUGAGAGAAGAUUUUAGAAGAGGAGUCAGAGAGAUCAUCAUAAGAUGUCAAAACACACACUUUAAAAUUGUGUGAAACGUUUUUCGAAGGGGGAGGAGUAAAAGAAGAUGAUUGUGGCGUGGUAAAUGGAUAGUGGGUGAUUUAGAAAAUAUAUUACUAGUUUCAUUCAAAAUCGGGAAGCAAUCCCUGAUUUUUUUUUUAAUGGUAUUUAAUGGUAUUUAAUUGUUUUUUAUAUCAAAACAAUAACUUUGAAAUUAACUGCUAGUACCAAAUUAUGGCAAAAAUAAGGCAUAUUAAUUAACAUAUCAAUUUAUUCAAGCUACGUUUUAAAAUGUAUGUAUAUAUAUUAACUACUAAAUACUCCUCCGUUUCUAAAAGAUUCAUAUUUUAGGAUUUUCACACUUAUUAAAAAAAUAUUUCAAAUAUUAGUUACCAAUACAUUAUUUUCCGCGAUCAACUAUUACCCGCAAAUUUUCACCAAUAGAAUUUUUUAAUAAAUACAAUUAUGUUUUUUGAAGUUUACAAUUUACAUUUAAUUUAUGCAUUAAAAGUAUGAAAAAUAUAUCUAUUUGAAACAAAUUUUUUUUCUAAAACAUGGAUAUUAUAAAGUAAUGCAAUUUUAUAAGAUCUCCAUUGGAUAUCUGUUUUAGUGAUGUAAGUUAAGAUUUUUUUAUAUUGAAUACUUUGAAUUCAAAUUUGUAUUUUUUCACUCUUAACAUUUGAAAUGAAAUAAAAUUUAUUUUGAUGUAACCAACGCAAAUUGCACAUAAAAAAUUUUAAUUGAAUUAUAUUAGUAUCAUUUUAUUAUUGAUGUAAAAUUUGUUUCAUUUAUUUAAAUGAUUUUAAGUUUUGCAUCAUUUCUCUAAGUGAUAUUAACACAAGUUUAUAUAUAUAUAUAUAUCAGUUAUUUAAACGAUGUAAACUUAUAUUUUCUAUCUUUUUUUUUUUACGACCAAAUAUUAGUUACCAAUACAUUAUUUUCCGCGAUCAACUAUUACCCGCAAAUUUUCACCAAUUUAUAUUUUCUAUCAAUUGUUUCAAAAUGAUGCUAACAAACAUGUGUUUGUAUCAGUUUCAAUGAAACGAUGCUAAAUAAUUAAUAGAAACAUCAUUUACUAUAACGAAUGUUGAAAUGAAUAUUUUUUUAUCAUUUACUAAUAAACGAUUUAAAUUAAUAUCAUUUACUUUUCUGAUACCAAUUAUGUGAUGCAAUACAUGUUUUUUCUGUAGUGUGUGUUUGUGUAUAUCAGUGUUUUAUUAAUUGUUUAUAUUUUUAAUAAUUUUUUGAUUCAUAAAACUAUUUAUUUCAUUAAUUUUCAGAAAGAAUAAGGGUAAAAGGAAGACAAAAUGGACAAAAUUUGUUUUAUACCAAAAGGAUAAUCAUACUAAAUUUUUGUUACGUUUUGGAAAUUAUUCUAAAAUAAUUUAAUUGCGCUUAAAAAUAAGAUAUAAAAAAGAAUAAAAUAUCUUGGUUGAUCCCGUCUAUCAGCGUGUUCCUUUUACUUCUUUUUUUUAAUGACGAGAUAUCUUUCCUUAUUUUGAUUGUUUCCUUUUAAUGCAACUUUCCUAAACCGAAAAGGAAAUCAGGAAGGUCUUUCUAUAUAAACACACCUUAGUGAAAAUAAAUCAAUACGUUACGUACUUUCUUUUUUGUCUCCAUCACCAUUUUUUUGGUAAACCACAAUGUCAACAGUAACAAACGGUGAAGAAACGAUGUGGUGUGGUCACUGCGGCGUUAACACACCAACUCGCCAUGAAGGAAAAGCUGGUUCCGUCAAGUCUUGCAAUUGGUGUGGGAAAGUGUUGGCAGAUGAGACUGGAACCGCUGAAGAAUAUACUAAACUCUUCCUUAAACAUCAUCAGGUGUUACAAGACUCAGUUAUGGUUUCUGGCAAAAGAAGUCGACGUAUCAAAAAACAUUAAACUGAGUUUGUUAUUAUUUUAAGUUAGGACAAAUGUGUCUGCUUAAUAUAGACUAGUGGUAUUCCGGCACUACGCGCCGGUUCUUAUAUUUUAUUUUUAUCAAAAAAAAUAUUUUUCUGAAUUACAGUUUGACUGUUUAGAGUAAAUUCAGAAUUUACUAUAUGAAAAUGACAAAUUACCUUUUAGAUUUCUCAUAUAUAAUUAACUAACUAAAAUGAUGAUGGCUUUUUAUAUCAAUUAUUGAACAUGAUAAUGACAUAUAUUCAUUUCUAAAUUGUUGAAAAAUAUCUAUCUAUAUAUAUAUAUAAAGAUGUUGGUGGCUCUCCUGGGAUGCCACGUGGAAGGUCGAGCUCCUACAGAUUGACACGCGUCCACUUAAAUGAAACUCUGUGUUUCAUUAAGUCGUAUCUGCUCAUUUGUGAUUUGGGCUUUUUGUCUAUGUAAAGGUCCAUAACCUGAAUAAGGUAAACCUAAGCAACUCGCCAUCGUUUCCUUCUUUGUUGUUGUACGGCGACUUCUCAUCUUCAUCAUCUCUACCACUGAAACGCUCUCGAUUAUUUCUUCUUCGUGUUUAAUCUCAAUUAAUUCUUCAACCACGAUGUAGCCUUGAAUGCUUGCUUCGCUUUUCGGAGUCGGAGUCGGUGUAUCUGCAGAGUAUAAAUAGGUCAUGUUAGGAUUUAAACCUUUGCCUAGUGCUUUAAACUUAGAUUGAAAUCAAUAUCAAAAGCUCUUUUUCUUUAUUCACUAUUAAUGAAUAACCUUACAAGAACAAAAUAGAAAUCACAAGUUUCUCUUAAGAACCAAAACCCUAACUAUUGAUUCUCUUGAUCUCUCUCUAUUUGCCUCACUCUUGUAUCUUUGUUUCGGAUGCCCUAACAAGCCUAGAUCACCUCUCUAUUUAUAACAUCAUCAGCCUCUUAACUUUCCUAUUCCUUGUUGUCUUGGUUCGUCUUUGACCGACAUAACAAAACAAGAAACUAACUUCACGUUUCCUUUUUGUUUAUGCAGGAUUCUUGCUGGGCUGGAGUGGGCCAAGACAGAAUUGGGCUUUUCUCUCUACAGGUCAGUAUUCUUCCUCUUACAAUCAUCUUAUCAGUAUGUUUAAACAGCAUAACUUUAGAAUUUCCAAUAGGAUUCGAUAUGUAUUUCUUUCUAAGUAUAAUAGCUAACCAGUUUGUUCUACUUACUGAUUUGAAGUCCCGACGUUGUUCUUCCACUUCCUUGCGGCUGCUCAGAUCGGUGAAGCCAGAAACGGGAGUUGAAAUGAUCAUCCUUGAUGCUGAGGUAUUCCGUUCUUGAACCUCAUGAACUCCUAAAUUUUAAACAAUUUCUUGCUUUUAAACUCAUAAAAAUCCAAAACUCAGUAUUAAGAUCCUUAUUCAAACUCUUUUGAAUGAUAAAUCUUGGACCCAUUUAAUGAUUAUGUUUUCUUUAUACAUGUGUUGCGGUCAAUACUCAUGCCAGUCAAUCGUGAAUGUCAAUUGUCUUGCUCCACCGGCAUGAAGAAGGACAAAUGGUGUUGUUACGUCUCUUGCUCCAGGUGGACCAAGGAGCUUCAAGGACUGGCUCAGCCUUUACUUUCGUGACCUGCAACAACGCUAAUGUUGUUGGUGUCCUCCGGUACGUAGGACCCUAAACACUUUGUUUUCUUAGCUUUAGAUACCUUUUAAAUGAGUUAAUUUGGUUAAUUAUAUUAUGUUUUUGAUGUAAUGAAUGGUUUAAUGUUUUAAAAAUUAUAGAUUGUGAAAGUUACUCACAUUAAUGUGUAUAAGGUGAAGAUUUAUUGACUAAGAAAUGGUAGCUUCAGAGAAAGUUAGAUGUGAUUAUUUGGAAACAUAAAGUGUUAAGUUCAUGGCGAGAGAGAAUCUUAUGCUGCAUGGGCUAAAUCAUCAUAAAGUUAUUAAGUCUCUACAUCGUUUUUAGUCUAUGGAGCAUCAUCUCCCUGGCCUUCCUGCAACUGAAGGUAUUAAAUUUAAUCUUUUUCAAGUUUGUAUUGUGUUUUGCGUUUCAAUUCUUGCUGGUGAGCGAUGUAUAUAUUGUUUUAUAUAAGAUCAUGAGAUAAUUAAUUACAUAAAAUUUUAAUGUUCAAGUCUUCAUCUGCAGUGUAAUUAUGCUUCCACAUAUAAGUGGUAAUUGUGAUUUCCAACGAUGUGAUUUUUAUUUUCUGAUUUUUCCCUUUGGUCUUUCUUUUUAUUGAUUCCCUUUGAUCUGGCAAUGAUGACGAUGAUAUGCCUGGAAUGAACUCAUUCUCUGCCAAGGUGGACGUUGGCGGUAGUACUCUUGAGGGAGCACCGACUACAUGAGCAGAUCCAAGUGAUCUCGACACUAAGAAGCCUCCGGCUUGAAGAUAGCAGAGAAAGCAUGCAUGGUACAAUGGCACAAGUGAAGAUAACGAGGGCUCUGAACGCCGUAUUUCCUGUUUGAAUAAUGCUAGCAUAUCAAUGUUGCUUAACGAUUUUUUUUCCUUUCGUUUCAUCCCUUUGGAUUUGCUAUGUUUGGUUCAGACGAUGUUUAAAAAUAUUUCUAAGUUUAAAUAAAUUGAUGUAUUUGUGACAUGUUUAAUCAUUACGGUUCCAUUAAAAAUAAAAACAUGAGCUUCAUACUUCGCCAAAUAUAGUCAGGGAUAAUUUGUUGCAUUAAUGUAUAAUUAUAUUUAUAACAUUCAAACAAUAUCAACAAUAUUUUACAAGCAAGAAUCUGGGCAGCACAAACAUAACAAGAAUCAACAGAACUAUAACUCUGAAUAUUUGGCACUUCAAAUCUUUUCCUCACUAGGAAGGUUACUUUGCAACUUAAAAAGAGAAUUCUUCCCUUCACUAAUUCAGAAUCAUUAUAAUUUUACCUUCACUACCUCUAAUAUCCCAUUUUAUAAAUCUGUAUAUAUAAAGUUGGGUUUGAUACUCUCCUAGGCUGUCCACGUAGGCGGACACGUCACUAAUUCGAGUCUUGAGAAGCCGACACAUGUCUGCGCCCAAAACGCGGCGUUUCAUUAAUUUGGAGUUGGAGAUCGUGUGAGCUUUUGGUGUAACUCAUAAACAUGCGGGAAUAUUAUCGUGUGGACUUUAGAUCAAAAUAAAAAUAAUACUUUUAACAGCAUACUUUUAUAUUUUAGUAAACAAAUAAUGUCGUGUUCUUCGUCUUAUGAACAUGUCAUAAAAACAGCUAUUAUGAUAUCGUUGAUAUUCAAUCCGAUCAUACAGGUAUGACAAGUUAAUGUAAAUCAACAUAACCGAGUACGAUGAUUUUAAUUGGAUUUACAUGUGUCAAAAAAUACAAUAAAAUAUUUUUAUUUAUUUUAAUGUGUAAAAUAGCCCGUAAAAACCAAAAAAACUAGGUGAACCAAUAGGUUUAUAGUAUAUUAGUGAACGUACAUAUAAAAUGUAUAAUAUUAUAUAGAGAAUGAAAAAUUGAAUUUACUAAUUUGAUAUACAUAUACUGAGCAUUUAACAUAGGAAUAAUGUUUUAGCAAUAAAAAAAAUAGGAAUAAUUAUUUGCUUUACCCAUUUACAUCAAUUUAUUUUCUAAGGUCCAUGAUUUCACGAUAAAUAGUACUCCUAUAAUUAUUUGCUUUACCCAUUUACAUCAAUUUAUUUUUUAAGGUCCAGAUUUUUCACGACAAAUAGUGCUCCUAACUUCUUCUUCUUUUUUCAAACAGUAGCUAAAACAUAUUAUUAUAUAUUACUCCUACUUAGCUAUUUAAAUAAACAAACAUUCUCUGAUAUUUGAAAAUUUUGAACGAUUCCCUUUGUACGGUAAACGGUUUUAUUUCAAAGUAUUAAUAAACCAAUGCAAAAAUAUAUUUUGCAAAAUAAUUACGCGGAUCUUCAGCAUAAGCUCUUUAUUACAUACGAGCAUGAAUUAUGUAAAAAACUUUCAUGCAAUAUUAUCAUUUAAUUUAAAUAAAUUGUUAUUGAUAACGCAAGUUUCCACAGUAUUAAUAACUUAUAAAUUAAUAGUAAAACCUAUCUAAUAAAUUCUAAACUUAUUUAAUAACGAUAGACCAUAUUCAAUUUAAAGAGUGGCAGAAAGUUGAAGUAUGACUUUUAUUAGAAGAAAACUAUCACAUUUUAAUUAAAACAUACACAGACUAUGCUACUCAGAGUAACAAAAUGUUUUUUUGGCUUAGAUAAUUAAGUUUUUCCUUAACAUAUUUCUCUGGCAUGAUCUUUGCAUAAUUAUAUGCGGACAUCACUAAUUUUAUUAUAUUAGAUUGUUCUUCAUAGAUAAUGAAAGUUACUAUCAUUUUAAUUCAGUCCAAAAAUAUUAAUUAAAAAUAACAGCAUGAUCUCUGAAUUCUAUUUAUUUAUUUUUGUUUAUAAUAUCGUUUUCAGUCUAAAAUUUUUUUAAAAAUGCUUUAUAAAAUUAAUGUAAAUUCAUAUAAAUAGUUUUUUUUCCUAACUUCCUGCCCAUAGGGCGGGCCGAUCCUAGUAUAUAUUUAUAUAUAUGGCAUUCAUAUUUUUAUGGUGCAAUCAUAUUUAUAUGGAUAUCUAGAUUUCAUUAGUUAAACAUUAGAUGAUAUCAAAUAUAUGUAGUUUAUAUAUUAUUAUUUUAAAAUAGUUGAAAAUAUAAAUGUUAUCUCAUAUUUAUUUUAAAUAUAUUUAUAAUUAUUUUCAUUUCUAAAUUAAAAUAUUAAAUGAUAUAGUGUAUAUGUAGAUGAUGCACUAUCACUAAAAGAGAAAAAAAUGUAACAAAAGAAACCUAUUAAGAAUCUUUACGCUAUUAUUAUAUUAAAUAUUGUAUUAAUAUAUUUGAGCUAAAUAAUUAAAAGAAGAGAAAUAUGAGACAAUUCAUAAAUAUUAAUAUAUCUUCUCAGUUUCUAAAAAUUGUUUUUAUUUAACUUAAUGGUAUAAAAAUAUGAUAUUUAUUUGACAUAUUUUAUAGGUGGUGUUAAAUCUUUAUAAAUAUAUCGUAAAAACUUUUAAUUUUGUAAAUGAAUCCCUUAUAUAUAUUAGAGAGAUCUUUUUUGUAAAAGUGUGAGUACUUUUGAUUAUUGUUAUUUUAUGUUUGACAUAUAUUUAGACUUUUCGUGUUUUAAGAGUUAUAUAUAUAUAUAUAUAUAUAUAUAUAUAUAUUUAGUUUAAUUUAUAUCAUUUUUAAAGAGUUAAUUUGUAUACCAAAAGCAAAUUUGAAAAAACAGAGACAAACUACAUAAACGAAUACGUUUUUGUGAUGUUUAAUUCUUUUUCGAACACGUUUUCGAAUUCUUUUUAUUUGAAGGGUUUACCUUUUCGAAUAUAAUAGUGACGUUCUUUCCAAAAUUCUCAAAUGUCUAAGUACAAUGCAGAAAUCUACAUACUCCCCAUUUAUAAAAUGAAAAGUUGAAAUUAGUGAAUGUAAUGUGAUUUGUCCAAAAUAUAAAGAAGUUUGUAAGCAGUCAACUGAUGUUAUUGGUUUUUGAUCCUGGAUAGUUAGUUGGGCAUAGAAAUACACCUUUUUAUUUAUAAUCCGAAAAACCCAUAAGAAUCUUGCGGAAGAGAUGGUAGAUUUCUUUAUGAAAGCUGGCAACAUAGAGACGGUAGAUUUGAAACCCUAGAUUUUACUUAAUCAUUGGAGCUUUCUUUAAAUCGACGUCAAAUGAAUCGAUAAGAAGAAUUGAGAAGGCAUAAGGUACCUGUUGACUUCGCAGCAGGAGCCAGGAAGAAGCAAUGCUCACAUCACAUGGGGAACUAUGUGAGGAGAACAUUUUACCUUAUUAUAUUAGAUGGUUAAGUAAUGUGGUUAUUUCAUCUUUAAAUAUUUUUAGAUUAAUGCUUGUGACAACAUUUUUUUGGUUCUUGUGAGAAAUGUGUUUUUUCAUUUUUUGACAUUCAAUAUUUUAUGAAAGUAGCUGUUUUUAACCACAAAAAUGUGCUUUGAACAAAAAAAAAAAAAAAACCACAAAAAUGUGGAUCUGUUACUUUUUCUCAUAUUUUUUUUGCUAUUGUUGCUCAAGUGUAAUGUUAUGUCAAUGUCAACCUUGUAUUAAUUUUCUGCUGUGAUAACGACAAAGGUCCCAUAACAGCCUAUGUAUCCAGUAAAACCUUUAAUUACAUCCAAAACCACAUAACUAACCGAGACAGGAAUCAUUAACUUAUUUUACAGUAAAGCUUAGGAGAGUCAAAUCAAGACAUAAAUUGAAGAGUCGACGAAUGUCCAAAACAUCAAAAUCCAAAACGACUACGAAAGCAGCUGAAAAAAAAAAUAACAGGCUAAAGACAGCCUAAAGUGUUUGAGUUUGUGUAUCAGAGUAUAAAUUUUGGAAGCAAAAUCUACGGUGAAAGUUUAACACCUCGUUUCUCAACCUCCAUCCCGCUCUUUGGAACUCAACCCCAUCCCGCUCUGUGGAACUCAACCCCAUCUUGUUUAUUUUCUUUGGUCCUUCCUUCUUAUCUUCUAAGUCUCGCUAUAUUUUCUUUCAUAAUUCUAUUUAUUAUCAUCUUUUUCCUCCUCCAUACUUUCUUCUGCAACUUCACCCUCCAAAGUCCAAAUCACUGGUUCUUUUCAAAUACUCAACUCAGUUGUGUAUUUUGCAUCACAACUGAUCCAAGCAUCUCUUAAGCAGAACUCAUAAGCAAGUCAAAUUAUAAGUAUUUUCUGCAGGUUUAAAGCGUUUCCUCAUAACUAAUCUUGACAGGCUUCCAACCUUCUCUAACUUCCUUGUUCUUUGCCUGACGCUUGCUCCUAGACUUUCUAUUGUCCAAAAAAUAGCACUCGAAGAAGUGUUUAUAGCUUCGGAUUCAUCCAUGAAACUAACCUUCUGAAAGUAACAGAUAUUGUUUGAAUUUCCUAGAAGAACCCAUAAGCCUUCUUCUCUGUUCGUAAGGCGUGUGAGGAAUAAUAGCACAUAAGAAUCCAUUGGAAAGUUUAAGAGUGAUCCAAGCUUGAACUACGGCCUUCUGUUUUGCAAGUGACUCUUACUUUUA